rnacentral:rRNA from 1 species
AUGGCCCACGCCUCAUCGCCACGCCACCGCCCGCGCAACGGAACGGGCACGCCACGCGCCCCUCCGCCCCUUUUCUUCUUCUUCUUCUUCUCGACUCUCCGCCAUUGCGCUAACCAAGGACAGAGAAGCCAGGCGGCAGCAACCCCUUUCCUCCAAUCUCCGUCCAUUCGAGACGUCUGCGGGGCCGGGCAAGGCAUGGUCGCCAUGCUGCCCGCCGCGAGGGGGGACGCCGCCCCAGCCGCCAGCGCCGGCGCCGCCGACAAGCUCGUCCACGGGCCUGUCACCGACGGCAAGUGCAAGAAGAAGGCCCCGAGGAUGAUCCACAAGGCCGAGAGGGAGAAGCACAAGCGCGACCUGCUCAACGAUCUCUUCAGCGAGCUUGACGAAAUGCUAGAAGCAGACAGGCAGACCAAUGGGAAGGCAUGUAUAUUGACUGACACCACUCGAAUCCUUCGAGACCUGCUUUCGCAAUUAGAAUCUCUCCGAAAGGAGAAUAGCACCCUGCAGAAUGAAUCCCAUUAUGUUACGAUGGAGAGGAAUGAGCUGCAGGAUGAGAACGGUGUGCUCCGCAAUGAAAUUCUGGAGCUACAAAAUGAGCUGGCGACGCUUCCCGCAGGCAACCCAGGUUGGGGCCAUGCUACUGCUGGAUCGCCUCACCCUGCGGGCACAGUUUUCCCGUCACAGCAACCAAUGCAGCCGACCACCAUCGCAAGCGCAGUAUUCCCCUUGCAGCAGCCUCUGCAACAGACAACAAUCCUGGAGCACCCUUAUGCACCACCACCACCACCACGGGAACUUAAGCUCUUCCCAGAUGCUGCGUCUGAUAUCGAAGGCCUUGAACCAUCAGAAGAUCAGGAGGCCGCCAACCAUAUUGCGCGACCGCUGGCGAGGUACCCAACACAGUCAGCGUUGUGGCCUGUAAGCCUGGGUCUCCCGAGGAUGGAAGACGAACAGUGUAGCAGUGGCACAACCGGCAGUAGCAAGGAAGGUAGUAGCUCUGCCUCUAGUAGAGAUUGA